CUCGGCGGGCCCCGCGCCCGCCGACGGCCCCCCUGAACGCUGUCUGAAGUUGCAGUCUGAGACCUAUAACGAAAUUAGUUAAAACUUUCAACAACGGAUCUCUUGGUUCCGGCAUCGAUGAAGAACGCAGCGAAAUGCGAUAACUAAUGUGAAUUGCAGAAUUCAGUGAAUCAUCGAGUCUUUGAACGCACAUUGCGCCCUCUGGUAUUCCGGAGGGCAUGCCUGUCCGAGCGUCAUUGCUGCCCUCAAGCCCGGCUUGUGUGUUGGGCCCCGUCCCCCCCGCCGGGGGGACGGGCCCGAAAGGCAGCGGCGGCACCGCGUCCGGUCCUCGAGCGUAUGGGGCUUCGUCACCCGCUCUAGUAGGCCCGGCCGGCGCCAGCCGACCCCCAACCUUUAAUUAUCUCAGGUUGACCUCGGAUCAGGUAGGGAUACCCGCUGAACUUAAGCAUAUCAAUAAGCGGA
rnacentral:rRNA from 1 species